rnacentral:RNase_P_RNA from 1 species
CGUGCAGGCCGGGUGACCGCGGGCGGCUUCGGCCGUCCGAGGAAAGUCCGGACACCGCAGGGCAGGACGCUGGGGAAACCCCAGGCGGCGAAAGCCGACGGAAAGUGGAACAGAGAGGAGACCGCCGGCGGGUGACCGCCGGUAAGGGUGAAACGGUGGGGUAAGAGCCCACCAGCGAUCCGUGGUGACACGGCGGCUGGCCAAACCCCGUCCGGUGCAAGGCGAAGCAGGUCCCGUCGACGCGGCCCGCCGAGGGACCGGGUACGCCGCUCGAGCCACCGGGCAACCGGUGGCCUAGACAGAUGGUCACCCUCGACAGAAUCCGGCUUACAGGCCUGCUACC